UUAUGAUUUAGUCACAGUCAUUCUAUAAUCUAUAAUUAAUAAGAUACAUGCAACAUCCUGAAACCCGUUAUAAUUAAUAAAUUAAAUAUCACAACUAACGCCCGCAGUAAAAGACCCUGCCCCAUUAGUAAAAGCUAAAAUCGGUAAUCAUUAUAAGCAUAAAUAAAAGAAGUGCCAGCAAUUGCGGUUAAACUCCAUAAUGCAAGAUUAUUUAUUCAUAAAAUUAGAAUCGGUAAAAGAACCACGAAAAAUAUAAUUUCAAGGUAUAAUAUUAUUAUAAUCUAAGAUCUCUCUGUUCUCAUAUCUUCUCUAAAAAACCAUAAACUUAAACAAGGAUUAGAUACCCUUCUAUAUUAUGGCACCCCCACAAUUUAGGAUAGUAAUCUUUAACCAACGAAAUCCAAAUGACAUGGCGGCGAUUCAAUCUCAUCAGAGGGGCCUGCCCUAGAAUUGAUAAUCCGCAUUAAUAUUUUCUUAAUCUUGACUACCAGCCUAUGUAUGGCCGCCGCAAGUCUAACUUGAUAAAGUCAAACUUAAGGUAUACUCACCCCUAUGACAGGUCAUUAUUUAGCCUAUGAUUAAGAUAAAGGUAGGCCACAUAUACAAUAUAUUAUGAAUUGGGCUAUUAAAAAUUCCCCAUAAAAUUGGAUUUGACAGUAAUAUUAAUUUAACACAUAAUUAUGAACUCAGCUAAUCGAAUCGUGCACAAAUCGCCCGGCCCUCUACCCAAAUAAGGGGAGAUAAGCCGUAACAAAGUAGAUGUAAUGGAAAUUGCAUCUAAUAUGAU
rnacentral:ncRNA from 1 species